rnacentral:rRNA from 1 species
UACGGGGGGUGCGAGCGUUGUCCGGAAUCACUGGGCGUAAAGGGUGCGUAGGCGGCACGGUAAGUCAGAGGUGAAAUCCCGGAGCUCAACUUCGGAAUUGCCUCCGAUACUGCCGUGCUUGAGGACUGGAGAGGAGAUUGGAAUUCACAGUGGAGCAGUGAAAUGCGUAGAUAUUGUGAGGAACACUAGUGGCGAAGGCGAAUCUCUGGACAGUUCCUGACGCUGAGGCACGAAGGCCAGGGGAGCAAACGGG